UCGAGUUCCCCCCCCCCCCCCACUCCGGAGCUCGCGGGCGACGCAGGCGGCGGCGUCAGCCGCUGCGGGAGGGGCGGAGCUCCGUCUCCAUGGCAGCGGGGGAGGGCGAGGUUCGGUCGCCAUGGCAGCGGGAGCGGCUGUUGUUUGUUUGGGAGGCGGCGGCGGCCGAGGCGGGGCGACAGUUCGUGGCGGCCUCGCCUGCGCCGAGCGCUCUGCCCGGGCGGCCCCAGGCUCCCGGUGUUCAGCCUGGCUGGCUGUGUGGCCUGGCAGCGGGCUGCAGCAGCUCUGUGGUACCCAUCACCCAGCCUCUGCAGCAUGGGUGUGAGCUAUGUGGCCAAGAGAACCCUGGAAACAGAGCCACAAAAUAAAAGGAAGAAACCAAA